UGGAUCCAGACUUUGAUCCUGGCUCAGGAUGAACGCUAGCUACAGGCUUAACACAUGCAAGUCGAGGGGCAGCAUGAACUUAGCUUGCUAAGUUUGAUGGCGACCGGCGCACGGGUGCGUAACGCGUAUCCAAUCUACCCAUGGCUCGGGGAUAGCCUUCUGAAAGGAAGAUUAAUACCCGAUGGUCUUGUCGAGUGGCAUCACUUGGCAAGUAAAGAUUUAUCGGCGAUGGAUGAGGAUGCGUCCGAUUAGGUUGUUGGCGGGGUAACGGCCCACCAAGCCGUCGAUCGGUAGGGGUUCUGAGAGGAAGGCCCCCCACACUGGAACUGAGACACGGUCCAGACUCCUACGGGAGGCAGCAGUGAGGAAUAUUGGUCAAUGGGCGAGAGCCUGAACCAGCCAAGUAGCGUGAAGGACGACUGCCCUAUGGGUUGUAAACUUCUUUUGUUUGGGAAUAAAGUGCUCCACGUGUGGAGUUUUGCAUGUACCAUACGAAUAAGCAUCGGCUAAUUCCGUGCCAGCAGCCGCGGUAAUACGGAAGAUGCGAGCGUUAUCCGGAUUUAUUGGGUUUAAAGGGGGCGUAGGCGGGCUGUUAAGUCAGCGGUCAAAUGUCAGGGCCCAACCUUGGCAUGCCGUUGAAACUGGCGGUCUUGAGUUCACACAAGGAAGGUGGAAUUCGUCGUGUAGCGGUGAAAUGCUUAGAUAUGACGAAGAACUCCGAUUGCGAAGGCAGCCUUCUGGGGUGUUACUGACGCUGAGGCUCGAAAGCGCGGGUAUCAAACAGGAUUAGAUACCCUGGUAGUCCGCGCCGUAAACGAUGAAUGCUGGACAUUGGCGAUAUAUUGUCAGUGUCUGAGGGAAACCAUUAAGCAUUCCACCUGGGGAGUACGCCGGCAACGGUGCAACUCAAAUGAAUUGACGGA
rnacentral:rRNA from 1 species